UACGUAGGGUGCAAGCGUUAUUCGGAAUUACUGGGCGUAAAGCGUGCGCAGGCGGUUGUGCAAGUCCGGUGUGAAAUCCCCGGGCUUAACCUGGGAAUUGCAUUUGUGACUGCACGGCUAGAGUGUGUCAGAGGGGGGUAGAAUUCCACGUGUAGCAGUGAAAUGCGUAGAUAUGUGGAGGAAUACCGAUGGCGAAGGCAGCCCCCUGGGAUAACACUGACGCUCAUGCACGAAAGCGUGGGGAGCAAACAGG
rnacentral:rRNA from 1 species